CUCUUCUGCCUCCUAGCGAAAAAGGUGCCUGCUUCUCCUGCCAUGAUUAUAAGUUUCCUGAGGCUUCCCCAGCCAUGCCUAACUCUCCUUCCCAUUUAUGAGAGAGCCACCUGACAUCAGUCCAUAGGCUGUGAAGAGUAUUCCAGAUCUAUCACAUUUCUGCGAUUCCCAGAUGGCUGGUCAUGAAAAAAAUUCCCUCUUCAGUUUAUGUAUAUGGCAGUGAAAAGACAAGAGGAAUCUUGGCCGCAAAAACUGAUAUCCAUCGUAAGAUCAUGAUGAAAUACAGCCUGAAGCAGGUCCAGAGUGAGAAGAGAAAAGAAUCACAGAAAUGGGGCUGGAGUUUCAACUGUAUUAAGCCAGAAGACUACCUACCUCCAAACUUUCAAGAAGCCAACAAAAUUCCUGACUGUUUAAACUAAUUUGAAUUGGAUUUCUAUUGCUUGUAUCUAAAAGCAUCCUAACUGGAAAAAAGAAGGCAUUGCCAGAAGAAGAAAGAAGAGGAGAAGAAAGAGGUGUCAUAAACUUUCUAAGAUAGUACCUUCCCUGAAGACUAUGAGUUUCUGUGCAUCCUAGGACCUCUAUGGAAAUUAGAUAAUUUCUGAUGAAGUUAAACAAUUAUAUUAUAAGAAACUCCUCAAAUCAAGAAUAAAUAAAAACAAGAGUAGCAUUAACAUUUACUGCAGAGUACAUUAAUACAGUUCAAAUCUAAAUGUCUGCUCUUGCAUUUCUGUGACUUUUCAUGCCAUGCUGAAAAUCUGGAAUGGAAACUCUCAUCCAUCUUGGUGAUUUCCUAGUGCCCUGAGGAUGGCUUCAUUUAAAAGCAUUUGAAGAUUUAAGU
rnacentral:lncRNA from 1 species